CCGCUCCCGGAAGCGGCUCCGGCGCCCGCGAGACUGCGCGGAACCGCGGGUGGGCUAGAGCGGUGCUGCGGCGUGGAGCCAGCGGCGAUGGAGGAUGAGAGGACUUUCUCGGACAUCUGUGGCGGCCGCCUGGCCCUGCAGCGCCGCUACUACUCGCCGUUCUGCCGGGAGUUUUGCCUCAACUGCCCUCGGCUCUCGCUGCGGUCGCUCACUGCUGUCACCUGCACCGUGUGGCUGGCGGCCUACGGACUCUUCACCCUCUGGGAGAACAGCAUGAUCCUCUCUGCUGCCAUCUCCAUCACCCUCUUAGGCUUGCUUGGGUACCUCCAUUUUGUGAAGAUUGAUCAAGAGACUUUGUUAAUUAUUGAUUCCCUUGGCAUCCAGAUGACUUCAUCCUAUGCUUCAGGCAAAGAAAGCACUACCUUCAUAGAGAUGGGCAAAGUCAAGGAUGUUGUCAUUAACGAGGCUAUUUACAUGCAGAAGGUGAUUUACUACCUCUGCAUUUUAUUGAAGGAUCCAGUGGAACCACAUAUGAUAUCCCAAGUAGUACCUGUCUUCCAGCCCGGGCUGUGGGACCGCAUCUGAACUGCUCCUGCUGGGGACGGGCACUGGCACCAGGCCAUCCCAACCCUGGAUAUUGCUCAGUCUCCACCUCCCUACUUGCCCACUCUGCCCACCAGUGGCAUUCAAGCCCUUUGAGCCUUGCUUGGACUCACCACAGCAGGCAACGUGACUCCGGGAAGACACAUCUGACAGCUGCAUGCCUGAAGUGGCCACUGCAUAGAUCCGGCUCUCCUGAAAUGAGAAGUCCCAGGUCUUGCUAUGUUGCCCAGGCUGGACCUGAACUCUGGGAUUAAAGUGAUCCUUCUGCCUCUGCCUCUGUCCUGGGACUACAGGAACCUGAAACCUGCAAUCAAGAGACCAGAAACUGGAGCGAGUAACCCACACAGGAAAAGGCACGCAAGUUUUACCAAGUCAUGAAUGUUGGACAGAAGUGGGGUUCUGUGAGGUACUCCAGGAGUCCCUGUUUGCUUGAGUUUUGCCUACGCAGGAAGACAGUAACUAAGGCAAUGACUGGGAGCAUUUUUUUUUUUAAAGAAUACAAUGAAAUGUUAAAUGAGAAGGCCUUGGACACUAAAGAGAUUUCCUAGAUUGACCUUCGGCUGGAUCCCUUAGUUCUAAUAUCUGCUCUGCAGCUUAGAAAAUGGCCUAUGACUUCCAUAAGAAGGCCAUACCCAUGACCUUCUGCAAUAAUUGUCUGACUUUUUCUAAUACAUCCAUUGGAAUAUUUGUCUUCCAAUUUUGAGAUGGAGACCAAGGUAGAAUAAGGAACAAACUUGAGUCUUACCUCCCAACUAGGCAUUUUCAUUUGGAUCAAGAGUGAGUGGUCAAUGAUACUAAUCAGAGCCAGAAAUCACUUGUCAUGGGCAAUGCAGCAAGAAUUUUUCCCCUCAAGAUUUUGUUAUCCAUCCCUUUAAGGUAUUUUAUUAUCCAACCCUUCAAGGUUUUGCUUUACCAAAGCAAAAGAAAUGGCAAGGAACUGUCCAGGGCCAGGAUCUCCUCCCAGCCAGGGCUGGCUGCUUCAAGGCUGCCAGGUGGUCCCCACUGUUGCCAACCCUCCCAGUCAUUCUUAUCUUCCUGGCAAGGACACGUGACACUCGAAGCAUUUUGUGUUCACUUUUAUGCUGAGGCAUUCUAUUUCCUCUAAAACUAGUUUCUGAAUAUUGAAAACAUUUUGAACAACCAGACUUUUUAAAAAGAUAAAGCAUAAUCCCAUAUAUACGCUGUUAUACUCAACAAUUACUAACAUCCCACUGUUCUUGUUUGAAAAUAUCUUUAACAUUUUGUUUCUAUCUGUUUUUAUGAAAGUAUACUUUCUCUCUUGCCGCUGGAGUACUCUAGGUGUGUCAUUUUGGGAGUUUAUAGGCUCCCCUUUUAAUCCCAGCAUCAACACUUCAUGCCUAGAUCCUUCUUCUCCACAUUUGCUUAAAGGGUCAUACCUGGAGCUCUGGAAAUCUGGCACUUUAGGUGGGCCUCCCUUUAUUUGGGUUCUGUUCCUUCUCCCACAGGCCUUGCCAGGACAAUGUCCUCAGCUGUCCUUAGUUUGCGGGUCUGGGGUGACUCAUCAACCAAGGAGGUGUCAGGUUUAGGUGGCUGACAGGGAUCUACUUUCAUCAGCUGCACGUAAGAUGCAUAAGCUGCCCUAGAACUGGCUGCAGUAACCUGACGAAAUGCACUUGGCACCAAUCUGGUAUUCAAGCCCCAUGUCCACGGUUCCUUAUUCCAUAUGGCAAUGCUGUGAAGCAGCCCCACGAGGCAGGAGCAAUGAGCACUCUCCUGCAGCCCAGAGUAGUCCUGCCAUGCCAAGCAGAGGCCUGAACUGAAAGCCACACCAUCCUCGGUCUCCACUAUUUCUCUGAGAAGGAAGUUUAACUUUCCGGCCACCACCUUAUAUCCACGGUUACAGGUGACAGCCAAGGCUCUGGAACCUGGCUGACUGUGCUAUGGUGUAGUUUUAGAGAAGUUCCUUAACCCUGUGCCUCAGUUUCCUUACCAGCAAAAAAGGAAAGCAGCAACAGCAUCUCUCUGCUAGGGUUGUUAGAAAGAUGACACAAAGUACCCUCGUAGAGCAUUUGCUGGUUUGUAGAUAAAAGCUGCUUACUGGUGCUUUUCUGUACAAAUAUGGCACUUAGGACCAGGGGGACCAGUUUGCCGGGGAUAGUCUCACCUGCUAUCCCAGCACAGAUACUAACAGAGCCUCCUUUCAUUUCUCUUCAGAGUGUCCUGGUUAGAUGAUAGAUUACAUGUCAUCCUACUUAGAAUUCAUCUACAUAAAGAAUAGGUUUAAGUCAAAACUUGCCAACUAUGAGUCUAAAGAGUGCCUCUAUGACAUAGAGUGGUGUGGGUCUUUAGCCUACACGUACAUAGCUAAACAGGGACACUUGCUGUGUGUCUAGCACUAUUAUAAGUAGUCUUAACUCAUUUCAGUUUCUUUACAAAGUCAGGUACUAUUCGUGUCCCUAUCAUACAGGUCAGGAGACUGAAGCAGAGAGGUAAAGAAACUUGCCCAAGGUCACACAGGUAUUAGAUUCACAGCCAGGAUUCAAACACAAGUGGACUGGUUCCACGGUUCAUACUGUCAGCCACCAUGCUAUAUAGUCUCUCACAUUCAAAUCUAAAAUGUCACAUAAAAAUCCAGACACUACAAACAAUUCUCAAUUUCCAGCUUCUAUCAAAAAAAAAAAAAAAAGCAGAAGAUCUGGCCAUACCAGGAUGACGUUUUCUUAUGGUAAUAUGUGGCUUAAGCCCAUGUCCUUGAGUUCUCCCACAGCCUGCCUGGUGCUUUUCACUGUUACCUUUAUCAAAGUUACCUGUGAGCAUUUGGGUUUGCAAUACCAGUUUAGUUAUUAAACAGUUCUAACUCUGUUGUAAUCUAAGACAACAGUUUUUUGCUUCUUUUUCAUAGCUGCAGAUUUUAUGUUUGAUUGAAAUCAUAUACUUAGUCCCAAAUAUAUAAAAUUUACAAGUGUGGAGCUGGGAUGAGAAAUAACUGUACAAAACCUGGAGAACUGUUUUGCUACUGUUUUGUUUUUUGCAGUGUUGAGGAACCCAGGGCCUUGUGUAUGCUGGACAAGUACUCUACCACUGAGCUGUAUCCCCAGCCCUGAGAUUUCUUUACAAAGGCAGGUACUAUUCGUGUCCCUAUUGUAAAGGUCAGGAAACUGAAGCAGAGAGGUAAGGAAACUUGCCCAGGGUUACAGAGGUAUUAGAUUAGGUAUUAGAACACUUCUAGUAGUUUUUUUUUUUUAAUUACAUAAACUACAUUGUACUCUUCUGAUAUUUUUCGUCCAAUAUUGGUUUUUGAGAUUUGUUAUUAUAUAUGUAGCUCUACUUAAGACCUUUUUAAGUGCAAUGUAGUAUUCCAGUGUAUAAAUAUGCUCAAUAUAUUGAUCCAGCCCCCUACUAAGACAUUUAGAAUAUUCACGAUUUUUAUAUGUCAGUACUGCAAUAUGUAUUCUUAUAUGUGUCUCCUGUGACCAAUAUAUUUGGAAUUACUUCUA